rnacentral:rRNA from 1 species
UCACAGGGACACAUAGAGAUAGCGGGACCCCGGCGUUGGUUGACCGGGGCGCAAGGGACCGAACAUCAGUAGGGAAGUCCGCGAUGCUCUGUGGCGAGAAAAGCUGUGUGUAUAUCUAAGGUGCCCGUACCGCAAACCGACACAGGUAGAUGAGGAGAGAAUCCUAAGGCCAACGGGAGAAGGGUUGUUAAGGAACUCGGCAAAUUGACCCCGUAACUUUGGAAGAAGGGGAGCCCCCGUUUUGGGGGCCGCAGAGAAUAGGCCCAAGCAACUGUUUACCAAAAACACAGGUCUCUGCUAAGUCGAAAGACGACGUAUAGGGGCUGACGCCUGCCCGGUGCCGGAAGGUUAAGAGGAGAGCUUAGCGCAAGCGAAGGUUUGAAUUGAAGCCCCGGUAAACGGCGGCCGUAACAAUAACGGUCCCAAGGUAGCGAAAUUCCUUGUCAGGUAAGUUCUGACCCGCACGAAUGGCGUAAUGAUUUGGGCACUGUCUCAACAGCCCGCCCGGUGAAAUUGUAGUACUGGUGAAGAUGCCAGUUACCCGCAACUAGACGGAAAGACCCCAUGGAGCUUUACUGCAGCUUAAUACUGAGGAUUGGUAAUGCAUGUACAGGAUAGGUGGGAGCCUGGGAAACUCUGGCGUCAGCUGGAGCGGAGGCGUCCUUGGAAUACCACCCUUGUGUUACUGGUUUUCUAACCUGCGGCCGUGAAUCCGGUCGGGGGACACUGUUAGGCGGGCAGUUUGACUGGGGCGGUCGCCUCCAAAAGAGUAACGGAGGCGCUCAAAGCUUGGCUCAGCACGGACGGAAAUCGUGCACAGAGCGUAAACGCAGAAGCCAGGUUGACUGCGACACCGACGGGUGGAGCAGGUACGAAAGUAGGAGUUAGUGAUCCGGUGGUAUGUGAGUGGAAAUGCCAUCGCUCAACGGAUAAAAGCUACCCUGGGGAUAACAGGCUGAUCUCCCCCAAGCGUCCACAGCGACGGGGAGGUUUGGCACCUCGAUGUCGGCUCGUCACAUCCUGGGGCUGAAUUCGGUCCCAAGGGUUCGGCUGUUCGCCGAUUAAAGUGGCACGCGAGCUGGGUUCAGAACGUCGUGAGACAGUUCGGUCCCUAUCUGUUGCGGGCGCAGGAGAUUUGAUGGGGGCUGUCCUUAGUACGAGAGGACCGGGAUGGACAGCCCUCUGGUGCACCAGUUGUCGUGCCAACGGCACAGCUGGGUAGCUACGUCUGGACGAGAUAAACGCUGAAAGCAUCAAAGCGUGAAACUCCCCCAAAGAUAAGAUCUCCCCCCUUUAUGGGGUAAGGGUCGAUGUAGACUACAUCGUUGAUAGGCCGAAGGUGUAAGCACGGUAACGUGUUCAGCUGAUCGGUACUAAUCACCC